AUAUGUUUCACCUCUAAUGCUUUUGCAGGCAGCAAGAGCAGUUGAUUAUAGUAUUGGGAGUAUGUUUCACCACUAAGAAUCCACUUUCUGAUCCAUAUCCAUUCAAUCUUAUGUUCCAAACAUCAAUAGGCCCAUCUGGCUUGAGCCCUGGGUUCAUGCGGCCAGAAACUGCACAGGGCAUAUUUGUUAAC